rnacentral:rRNA from 1 species
CAGCCGCCGCGGUAAUACGAAGGGUGCAAGCGUUACUCGGAAUUACUGGGCGUAAAGCGUGCGUAGGUGGUGGUUUAAGUCCGUUGUGAAAGCCCUGGGCUCAACCUGGGAAUUGCAGUGGAUACUGGGUCACUAGAGUGUGGUAGAGGAUAGUGGAAUUUCCGGUGUAGCAGUGAAAUGCGUAGAGAUCGGAAGGAACAUCUGUGGCGAAGGCGACUAUCUGGGCCAACACUGACACUGAGGCACGAAAGCGUGGGGAGCAAACAGGAUUAAAGACCCCUGUAGUCCCUGUCUCUUAUAC